rnacentral:rRNA from 1 species
AAUUUUGGUCCGCCUCAUUUUCAAGCCUGAUCUUGUCUGAUCUCAGAAGCUAAGCAGAGCAGGGCCCUAGUUAGCACUUGGCUGGAAGACUGCUGGGAAUACCAGAUGCCACAGUGG